GAUGAACGCUGGCGGCGUGCCUAAUACAUGCAAGUCGAGCGAACGGACGAGAAGCUUGCUUCUCUGAUGUUAGCGGCGGACGGGUGAGUAACACGUGGAUAACCUACCUAUAAGACUGGGAUAACUUCGGGAAACCGGAGCUAAUACCGGAUGAUAUUUUGAACCGCAUGGUUCAAAAGUGAAAGACGGUCUUGCUGUCACUUAUAGAUGGAUCCGCGCUGCAUUAGCUAGUUGGUAAGGUAACGGCUUACCAAGGCAACGAUGCAUAGCCGACCUGAGAGGGUGAUCUGCCACACUGGAACUGAGACACGGUCCAGACUCCUACGGGAGGCAGCAGUAGGGAAUCUUCCACAAUGGGCGAAAGCCUGACGGAGCAACGCCGCGUGAGUGAUGAAGGUCUUCGGAUCGUAAAACUCUGUUAUUAGGGAAGAACAUAUGUGUAAGUAACUGUGCACAUCUUGACGGUACCUAAUCAGAAAGCCACGGAUAACUACGUG
rnacentral:rRNA from 1 species